AGGUUGUGAUGUUGACACUUGAGAAGCAGCUCAAUGAAGUGCCCCCAUGCUUCAAAGAAAAGGUCUCCAUCUCUUUGUUGAAAUGUUUGAAUUUCCUUUCUAAGUUG